AAUGAACGCCGGCGGCAGGCCUAACACAUGCAAGUCGAACGGAUCCUUCGGGAUUAGUGGCGGACGGGUGAGUAACGCGUGGGAACAUACCCUUUGGUACGGAAUAGCCUCGGGAAACUGGGAGUAAUACCGUAUGUGGUCGAGAGACGAAAGAUUUAUCGCCAAAGGAUUGGCCCGCGUUGGAUUAGGUAGUUGGUGGGGUAAUGGCCUACCAAGCCGACGAUCCAAAGCUGGUUUGAGAGGAUGAUCAGCCACACUGGGACUGAGACACGGCCCAGACUCCUACGGGAGGCAGCAGUGGGGAAUCUUAGACAAUGGGGGAAACCCUGAUCUAGCCAUGCCGCGUGAUCGAUGAAGGCCUUAGGGUUGUAAAGAUCUUUCAGGUGGGAGGAUAAUGACUGUACCACCAGAAGAAGCCCCGGCUAACUCCGUGCCAGCCGCCGCCGUAAUAC
rnacentral:rRNA from 1 species